rnacentral:piRNA from 1 species
UCAAUUGAUAAGGUGCUUGCCUAGCGUGC